GUAGUACAGGGGAUACCCUGUCUGUUCUGCUGUCUAUUGCGGCGCCGCGACCCGGCCAAAUAAGCGGGCGGUCGCGGGGCGUGACAACAUGCUCGACACCCGCCUGGGCCGCCGCCUGCUGACGCUCCAAGGCCUCCUGGAGCCGCUGAAUCUGCUCCCCUUGGCGUUGAACAGACUCCGCUUGUUGCCGCAGUGCGCCAAUAAACGCGGCCAUCUUCUCCCUAAGCUCUCCGUCGCCACUCACUCCGGAUCGAUCGGGCGCCACAUUCGACUCCUUCGGCAUCGACCUUGUCUACAGUCGACCACGAGGCUCCAUUGCUUCCUUAAAAGAAGCAACUCACACUAGCUACAUGACCACAUUACUUGACCAUACCCAAUCCGACGAAAGCAACAUGCACAUUCAUCCUUGCCUCAAGCGUCAUGUCGUCAGCCGCCCGACACAACACUAGAAGUAGAGGAUAAACGAAAAUUAAACUUAGUCUCUAAUCACAUUAGAGACGUCCGAACUUAACCAAAUCACAUGCUUUCGCUAACUUUAAUUCCACGUCACUCACGUUUCCUAGAUCCUUAAGGUCUUCCAAUCCUAAGGGUCUCUAAGUCCAUUCCUAUUCUUUCACUCUUGGCUCUGAUACCACGAUAUCUGUCACGCCCUGGGACCGAUACCAAUUUGGGCCGGCCCGAGCACGUCAAACAGACGCCGAACGGACAGAGUUUCCCCUAUCCGCCCAAGGCUCAUCACCUAUACAUUUUCAAUCAUGAAGUGCACUAGCGGAAACAUACACAAAUGGCUUACACAAGGGUAAGCAAUAGCCAUGAGUGAGAGAAUGGAAACUAACAUUCAAUUUGUACUAUGAUUCAAUUUAGAUCAUAUACAUUGCAUUCAUAGUUC
rnacentral:lncRNA from 1 species